rnacentral:rRNA from 1 species
AUUGAACGCUGGCGGCAGGCUUAACACAUGCAAGUCGAGCGGGGUGAUGGUGCUUGCACUAUCACUUAGCGGCGGACGGGUGAGUAAUGCUUAGGAAUCUGCCUAUUAGUGGGGGACAACAUCUCGAAAGGGAUGCUAAUACCGCAUACGUCCUACGGGAGAAAGCAGGGGAUCACUUGUGACCUUGCGCUAAUAGAUGAGCCUAAGUCGGAUUAGCUAGUUGGUGGGGUAAAGGCCUACCAAGGCGACGGUCUGUAGCGGGUCUGAGAGGAUGAUCCGCCACACUGGGACUGCGACACGGCCCAGACUCCGACGGGAGGCAGCAGUGGGGAAUAUUGGACAAUGGGGGGAACCCUGAUCCAGCCAUGCCGCGUGUGUGAAGAAGGCCUUAUGGUUGUAAAGCACUUUAAGCGAGGAGGAGGCUCUUUUGGUUAAUACCCAAGAUGAGUGGACGUUACUCGCAGAAUAAGCACCGGCUAACUCUGUGCCAGCAGCCGCCGCCG